CCCUAUGAUUUAGUGCAAAAGCUCUGAUUAAUCUAAAUCCUUCAUCCAUGUUAUGGGCAGGCAAUAAUGGAAGGCAUAACAGAAAUUUUAACGCCUUCAAUGCAUUUUCGUUGCUAUUAAUAUGAUGUACCACUUACUUGAUUGUGAUGAAACCAACAUCCAACAGAACGAGCUCCUGGAAAAACGGAUAUCAGUACAUCCCUCAAAGCUAUUUCAUAGUCUGUGAUUAUAAUUUCAGGAGUCAAAUUUGGUAACAGAUUAUUUUUAAUGAAUCGAAUGACAUAAUCAUUGCUUAUUAUCAUUUAUAAUCAUUGUUCCUGCUUUUACUCUCCAUCAAUACAUAAAUAAUUGGUGUAUGUAAUAAUGUCUUACAUAGUUCUGAAUCAUACAGUGAAAAGUAAACAAUUGAUAGCCCAUAUUUCUGGGUACCACCUUGAAUGUAGCAUCCGCAUGUAUUUUAGAAAUACCAUCUCUUACUAAAUUCUGGAUUAAAUUAGUACAGGCUAAAACAACGUUUCUCCUACCAUCAACAUCUUGUACACACUACACAUGCCUUAAAAAACGGAGCAUUACAACAAGAAAAACAUUGAAGUUCUCCAUUUUCAAACUGUGCCACCAAGUCUUCUAAAGAAUUUGGCAUUGUAGGCAUGGAACUGCGUCUACUAUAUCGCAUGAUAGAUUCAGCAGUAGACCAUGGGUACAAUGCUGCUGCAUCCAUAUGCCUGUUUCAGAUGAAAUUAAUAAUAAUAUUAAUAAAUUAUUGUUAUACAUUUUACCUAAACUAAAGUGAUUUACCUUCUUGCCUCUUCAUCGUAUAUAUUUUUUAACAGCCCAUUCUCUGUAGAAGCUCUUUAUUUCAACACUCCGCGAAAAUUUAUAAUUAAAUUGUCAUUUUCACUUGGAUCGUGAUUGUGUGGUUUAAGAACAAUUUUUUGACCAUUCGGUAAUCUUUUUAAAGACCCGGUACAAAAAUGUGUGCGAGCUUUGCUGCAUUUAAAAUAACUGAAAUAUUAAUAUAGCAGUGAUUUAUUAAGAAAUAGAUAUAUUCAUAAAUAUAUAAACAUUAAGAUCUAGUAGUUUUGAAAAAGAUAGUAAAUCUAGUAAACUAACAACAUAUGAUUGUAUA